rnacentral:lncRNA from 1 species
GUUAGUAUAAGAAAAACGUGUUACUCAUUAUCAAAGUCAAUCAAGAAGAUAUAGUUUUUCCAAUACAAAGACGAGUUACACGUAAGUAAAUUUGUUUUUUUUUGUAUUUUAAUUAACAUAAAAAAUAAAUUAUCUGACACAAAUCACACCAGAUAUAGAUUACCUUGAUAACUAUUAUGUGAUUGAGUGUUAUUUGACAUAUACUAGUAAAUAAUUUCAUUUAAUAUAGCACCGCGGGUAAAUUAUCACGUUUUGAUUGGUUUAAUGACAUCACGUGGUGACCUCCUACGGGUCCGUAGGAGGUAAAUUCGGCCUCACCCCCUAUGAACUUUACUAACCCUCUAUGGAUACGUAGGGGCCAGUAUGGAACCAUAUAACUUAAAGUAUUUUACUCGUUGCAUCUCUCAUAUCGUUUAAUAAUUAAACAAAUGAUGCGUAAAUUCAAAAAUCAUUCAAAAGAAUUCAAUUAUGCCUUAUAGAUAUAGGAAGAUGUGGUGUGAGUGCCAAUGAGACAACUCUCCAUACAAAUAACAAUUUAAAAAGUAAACCAUUAUAGGUUAAAGUACGGCCUUCAACACGGAGCCUUAGCUCACACCGAACAACAAGCUAUAAAGGGCCCCAAAAUUACUAGUGUAAAACCAUUCAAACGGGAACACCAACGGUCUAAUCUAUAUAAACAAAACGAGAAACGAGAAACACGUAUAUAUUACAUAAACAAACGACAACUACUGUACAUCAGAUUCCUGACUUAGGACAGGUGCAAACAUUUGCAGGAUUAUUUGCUUCAGAGAUUUAGAGAGACAAAAGCCCAAAAGAUUUUCCCUGAGCUUGACGGUUAUAGUUAUAAGAACAUUUUGCGCAUUUUUGAUAUCAUCCCAAGUGCUUUUCAAAAUCCCUCCUCUUUUGCUAAUAUUAUAUGUUCAUCAAUAUUUCUUGAUAUGUCAGAUGACAACUAUAUGUUAAAAAUUGUAAACUAAUCAAUGCUCUUCAACUUCGUACUUUAUUUGGCCUUUUUAUGUGUUUGACCUACCAAAUUAUAAGGCUCCUUUGUAUCUUUGGUGAGUUCUUUCAACAAUCACUGGUUUGGUUCUACACAUGGUGGAGGUUUCAUACACGGACACAUUAAAUCCAAUAGUCAACAUUUUGAUGUUGACACGAAUUAUCACUGAAAAAACGUAAAAUCACAAAAAUAUGAUAUGGCGUUACAAAUUAAUCGACUGCUUACAAAAGUUUGAAUUGUUCUUAAUAUAUAGAAUUCUGUAUUCCAGGAAGACAUAACCUCUAGUAAAAUCAAACGUUACCUGAUCUGUUUUGGCAAAACCUUGUGGGAUUUAUGGUACAUAAUGCUCUUCAACUUCCUACUUUGUUUGUCCUAUUGACGUUCUUGAUUCAAGCGUCAUCGAUGAGGUUCUUGUACGCAAUAAUGGUGUAAAAAUUAUAGCAUUAUAUCGGUGAUGAGUUUUUCCAAUUUAUAUUAACGUCUGUUUUUGUGUACAACUGUUUGUCAAACAACAUGAUAUAUCGUUAUAGGUCAAUUAUUUCAUAUAAUUAUAACCUAUUGGGGUAUAUUGGUGUUUGUUUUCAUCUGCCAUCGAUAAUUUCAAUCCUUGUAUUUAUAAGGAGUUUGAUUUAAAAGAAUGAACUUAAAAUUGAAUUACUAAAGCGUCUAUUGUCACUCAAUGAAAUAUUUUACAUGCAGAUUACAAGAUUAAAACAUUCAUACUUAUUUCACACCAUAAGACUAGUUUUAAACAAGAAUGUGUCCAUAGUACACGGAUGCCCCACUUGCACUAUCAUUUUCUAUGUUCAGUGGACCGUGAAAUUGGGGUCAAAAUUAUAAUUUGGAAUCAUAAUUAGAAAGAUAAUAUAAUAGGGAACAUUUGUACUAAGUUUCAAGUUGAUGUAACUUUAACUUCAUCAAAAACUACCUUGACCAAAAACUUUAACCUGAAAUUCGCACUAUCAUUUUCUAUGUUCAGUGGACCAUGAAAUUGGGGUCAAAACUAUAAUUUGGCAUUAAAAUUAGAAAGAUCAUAUCAUGGGGAUCAUGUGUACUAAGUUUCAAGUUGAUUGGACUUCAACUUCAUCAAAAACUACCUUGACCAAAAACUUUAACCUGAACUUCGCACUAUCAUUUUCUAUGUUCAGUGGACCAUGAGAUUGGGGUCAAAACUAUAAUUUGGCAUUAAAAUUAGAAAGAUCAUAUCAUGGGGAACAUGUGUACUAAGUUUCAAGUUGAUUGGACUUCAACUUCUUCAAAAACUACCUUGACCAAAAACUGUAACCUGAAGCGAACGGACGGACGCACAGACGGACGGACGCACGGACGAACGGAGGCAGAAAACAUAAUGCCCCUCUACUAUCGUAGGUGGGGCAUAAAAAAGAAUUAAAUACUCUGGCUGACAAGCGAAUAAAAAAACUCAGAUGAUUGAUUUAUCCUGUUCAAAACGAUUUUAAAACAUCUUUCUAUUCUUAUUUUUGUCUUAUAAACAAGAAAGACCCUCACAGUACGACCCAAUUAAUAACUUUCCAUCUAUUUUCUUACAAGUCAUGCUCGAUAUUUUUGUGGACCGCUGACAUGCUGUAUUUACUGUUUUUAUACACAUCAUAUAAAUGUCAGCAUAUUCAUAGGUAUUAACUUUUCCUUCAAAUACUUAUUUUUCUUUUCAAAUUUCAUGCAAACGACUUGUUUAUAUGACAGUUGCUUUACAUUCGUUAUAUGUGUUUGAGCUUUAGGACUUUCCGUUUUGAAUUUUCUUUCGGUUUCGGUAUUUCUAGUGUUCAUUUUUUUAUUUAAAGAUAAUAAUCAUGACAACUUUGAUAUAAAUGGCACGUCUCUGUCCACCCCGUAUAACCCCGAUCAAAAUGAAACCGGACGUUGACGCGUUCGAAGCGAUAAUCAGGACAAUAUUUAGGAUGACAACAAUUUGGAAUGCCUCUCUAGAACUUAUUUGAGUAUAUAUAAAUAUGCCAAUGUGCAUGAUAGUUUAUUUAUUCAAUUAUACAAUUGUUGUUAGUUUUAGAUAUUGCAUAGAACGAUUGAUAAAACUGCUAGAUGCAAAACGCACAGACAUGGUGCAAUUUCAUACGUUUUAUGAGAUAAACAAUGCUGAAUAUCUUUUCGUGCAUAUAACUUUGCGUAUUAAUACCUUAAGCAAUAACAAAUAACUAUACUUUGAAUAACUACGUGCCUUCAAAUGUUCCCUAGAACUAAGAAUAAACGCAAUAUCACAGUAAAUAAGUUUUCUCUUACUGUAUUGUUCGUUCCACUAAAUGUGUCGCGUUCGUUGUGCGUUUAAAAAAAAUCACUGUACAGUUCGUUGACAAAAACCGUCACAAAUCACUUUCUUGUCAAAGUAUUCGAGAUGAUGUCGGCGACCCUUUUUUCUAUAUUUUAUUGUAAAUGUUUAUCCGUUAAAUUAGUCAAAAUAGUUGAACUUAAAUCACCAGUCACCCAAAGCCAAAACUGCAGUGUUUAACCAGCGUACAUCUGAUAGGAAUGUUUCUAUUGAAAAUUGGGACUUUCAACGUUAUUCCAGAUGAAAUGAACAGUUAAUAAAUAUAUUCCAGAGGGAAUAAAGUUUCAAAAAGUAUAGAACAGUCAUUAAAACAUUAAUGACUUCUUUUUCACAAUUUGAGGCUCUUUAAAAAUGCUGAUGUUGGUCCAAAUUCGCAUAGACGAAAGCAGACAUAGAAGCUCGUUGAACUUAGUUUGCCGAAUGCCUUAGAUGGCAUUCCAACUGCUUUAUCUAUGGGUGGUUUUUUUUUACUUUUUUUUUUUUACAUAUAAAGCUUUUUAGAUGUGGUGUGAUGGCCAGUGAUACAACUUUCCACCAAAGUUUAAAUGAAGUGGGUGAAUAAAGCAAUUAUUAUAGUCCAAUGUACAACAUUUAACAGUGAGGAAAACCUAUACCAUAUAGUCGGCUUUAAAAGACACCAAUACAACAAAAAAUGUAAAAAAAAUAAAAACGAGAAAACUAACGGUUAUUUAUUCAUAACUUAUGGAUUAAUUAUCAAAGAAAAAAAAUAUGACAGAUCUAUAUAACCUAUGUUAUACAGGCCCAUGACGUAGGACCGACACGAAAAAAAUGCGGCGGGAUUAAACAUGUGAGCCCCCAACCCUCCUUUAACCUGGGACACUGGUGUAACAGCACAACUUAUAAAAAAAAUAUAAAAAAAACCUGUACAGUUGCAAUUGGCUCAACUCAAAAUGUCGGUACAAGGCACAAAAAACCAUAUACAUAAAAAUAUCGACAAAGGAGUAAUUGAAGUAACUGAUAGUUAUUUCAAAGCGAAUUAAAACUAAGAGGUAAAUCAUGUGUAUCUAAAGUAUUAGUCAGUGAUUAUGUUCCAGACCGUAUGAGUAUUUGGACCGUACGUGUACGGUCUGGGCCGUAUGCGUACUUUUUCAAAAUACUCAUACGGUCGGACCGUACGCGUACGGUCUGACUUAUAUUAAGAAGUAUACAUAAAAUAUCGACAAAGGACGAAUGGGAAUAUACGAUCCAAUGUCUCGUGUACUUUACGAACCCUUGAAAAACUUUUUGAGAGGUCCAUAAAUGGCCUGUUGAAAGGCAACAUUUGUGUCCUUAUUCAAUAUACCUCAUUUUAUCCAGUGGCAGUAAUUCCGGAGGGCCUCCUUCCAGGACCUACAUGUAGUAUGUGUUGCUACUUUGUGCUUAUCUUGAACGUUAAGCAGCCAACAAUCAGCUAUUACGUACGCGUGUCAUUAACAAAUAAAGGGGUCCAGAAAUUGUUAAGUAUCAACUGUGAAACGUUUCAAUUUUUUAUUGAUAACUAUUAAGACAUGAUAAAAAGAAACAAAGCAAAUGUCUAAGGUUAGGUUGAUGGUUGAUGAUUGAUGCUUUGCUCAAUUGCAUAAUUUACCGAUGACGCCAAAGGUAACUGGGGAAUAUAAAUAUGGUCCUUUUGGUCUUCUCCGAAAUAAGUCAAAAUUUGAAUGAAAUGCAUAUGGGUGGGUAUAGACUUCAAGGUGCUUAAAGUACCAGAAUUACCAAUCAUGUAGAUUUUGGCAUCACAGUAGAAAGACUGUAAUGUUCGAGGAAACUAAGCAUAAUCUUUAUACCUUAAAAAUUAAACAAACAAACAAAAAAAAGCAAUUCAGUUAAUAUUAAGAAGUAUCUCUUCAUCUUUAUAUCUUUACAUUAAAGAAACUGUAUUACUAUUGACGGCUAUAAGUUACAUGUUCAUUGUAUACACAUAUUCUCUAGCCUUAAUGUAACUCUAUUGUACUCUAUGGAUUAGGACCCUUGGACCCGCCUCUGAGAUUCAGGCCAAAAGCCUAUAAUCCAUUAAUUGUUUUUGAUUGCCGUCUACAUCAAAAAGAAGAUGUGGUAUUGAAACAACUCUUCGCAAGAGACCAGACGACACAAAAAUGAACAACUAUAGGUCCCCGUACGGCCUUCAACAAUGAACAAAGCCCAUACCGCAUAGUCAGCUAAAAAAUCACACAGAAAUGACAAAUGUAAAACAAUUCAUAAGAGAAAACUAACAGCCUAUUUUUUGCAAAAAUAGUGAACACAAAAAUAUAUAUAACCACUGAUUACAAGCUCCUGGCUUUAGACAGGCACAUACAGAAUAUGGCGGGAUUAAACAUGUUAGCGGGCACCUAACCCACCCCUAACCGUACAUUGACUGUCGUAUGGUAAACAUUUUCUAAAAUGCUAUCAAAUUAGAUAUUCGGACGUGUGUAUCUGUAUGCUUAGUCAUAUUUGCAUCUGUCGAGUUAAUGUAUUUCUACCAAUUCAACUUUCGUAUACAUAAGGAUUUUUUUUACAUGUACAAAAUACCUCCAAGAGUGUUUCGACAAUACAACGGAUAUUAUGGGUUGCUGUCUGCAUGUUAUGGUGGUAAAUUAUUUAUUUUUUAAACAUGCAUAUUGGUUAUAAUCAUAUCAAAGCAUUAUUUCAUACACGCAAAAUUCAUUGACAAACGCAAUAUUGUGUCAACGAAGCGUACAGUAUAAAAAGGUGUAAUGACAACGAAGCGUACACAACAUGAAAAUAAAGACACUUUAAAACGUGUAUUUUUUUGUUUCUAGACACAACACAAAACAUACGACCUUUAUAAGUUUGUUAAUUUUAACUAUGAAAUUUUCAAAAAUGUAUGUUAUAAAAAACUAUGAGGUACAAGAAACAUUAAGUUUUGAAUAUUUAAAAAUACCAAGCACGUUUUAUCAUUGAUAUCGUCGUGCGUUAUUUGAUGUUUGUAUAUAAAAAUUCCACAUAUUUGAAAAACCUUUUAGUAACUAAUGAGUAUUAUGGCAAAGAAUAUAUUGGAGCAAAAUAUCCGAAGAAUAGAUAUUGGAUUUUCUUUAAAAGUAUUAAUUUCUUACUGUCUGAACUCAGUGUUACACGAUGUGUUCGAUUCGAACGCGUCAACGUCCGGUUUCAUCUGUAUCGGGGUUAUACAGGGUGCUGUCCGUCAUUAGAAAUAAUAAAAAAAAAAAGGUAUUUUUGAUGAAUCCGAACUUAAUUUUAAUAUCAAUCACUUCUAAUAUAGUUCGUGUUCGACGGCAAACAAAUAAAAUUCAUUUUCAUUUGUUCGUUAUUCCAUUUUUGUACGAUAAAUACUACUGGUAAAUAGGAAAAUAGUAUUUGAUAGACAAUAUGAAAAUGUAAAGCAUGAAUAAAACAAUCAUGAAAACUAGUAUUCACUAUGAUGGGACUUUGUUUAAUGUGAUAAAUAGUAUCAUCUAUAUAACAAGUUUUGUAUAACUAAGUGUUUUAUUUUGUUAACAGUUUACAAAAGAAAUUUGAUUUCCAGUGUUAGUGAGAUUGAGCUCUUAUGAUAUAAGAGUAUGUCUUGAAAUCAUUUUUGUUCAUUAUUGAACACUCUGAUAUUAACUCCAAUUUCGUAUAAGUAUGCCCAAUAUUUUUAUAAAACUACAAUGAAAUUCAAAAGCAGGAAACAUUUAGUACCAAUUUGACUUUUGGGUUGACAUACAUAACUGCAUGAGCCCAUUUAAUUCAAAAUGGAAUUAAAAAUCAUUUUUUUUGACAAUUCUAAUAAAUUCUGUUUUCCAUAAAUAUUAUGAUAUAUAUGUAUUCAAAAUUUUCAAACAAAUUAUGACAAUUAACCACUUAUAACUUUAUUGAUAUUGCAAUUAAGACAAUAAUAUACCCAAGCUCACCUAUUGUUUAUUAAAAAAAUGGAAGUAGUGAUUAACACCUGUAAAAACAUUUAUGGAUGUGUCAAUUAUGUCCUCACACGGGGGGGGGGGGGUCACAGACAAUAAAACUAUACUUAAUUGAUUUUUCAUUAGUUGUUCAGGUUUUUUGUGAAUUGGACAGUUGGUUAAAAUUUGUAGAAAAAAACAAAAUUAUAUCUUUUAUAUAGAGAAAGGACACUUGUCUAUAGCUAUGUUAUCAACUUACACAUGUUACACUGUAUUUGUCUAAAUUCUUAAAAUCUUUUAAACAUGUUGAAUAAGAUCAAUAAACUAUGGCUUUAAAAAAAAUCACCAAAAUAGCUAUUUCGUGAGGAUAAAAAGUUAUUAGAAAUUCUUUAAUAUUGCAAUAUAUAUACAAUGUAAUCAUAAGUAAUCACAAGUAAUCAUGAUAACUUUAAAGAAAAGUAAUCUAAUGUAACCAAUUACAUUUGAAAUAAGGUGUAAUUGUAAUGUAAUUGAUUACAUUUUAUAAGCAAAGUAAUUGUAAUUUCAUCGAUUACAUUUUAAAGUAAUCGACCCCAUCCCUGAUGCAUAGGAACUAUUUUGUGUUAAAUAUGUACUAGUUUCUGUUGUGUACCUUUCUGACCGGGCCGACUUGGUGGUGUUACACCUUAUAAUCUUAUACACACAUUUUGUAGUAUGAACUGGAAACUCUGACCAUGUUAUACUAUCUAUAAUACUAAAAUUACAAGGUCCAAUUUGUCAGCCGUCAUCGGGUAAAAACGACAAAUCAAAGAAUUCAACUCUAUAUAUAACUAAUAUAGGACAAUGUGUAGAUUAAAAAUACACCACUCCAGACCCUUUGUUUUCAGCAUAAUUAAUAUUGCCAAUAAUUAACAAGUCCGGGUCGAAUCGAUACCGAUACAAAUAGUAUAUUCCUAUUCCUUUCUGUACGUUCCGCAUUUGACAGGAGCAACCACCAAACGGUGUAUUUAGGAUUUGCUAUAUACCACGGGUCAUAAUCAAGGACUGACACUACUAAAUUCAAUCAUUGUCAAAUUGUUCCCUAUUGUAGUUUUAUUCAGCAAUCAGCAAGACUUUCUAAGAUAACUAAUAUAGGACAAUGCUGUUGAUUAAAAAAUACUCCAUUCCUGGAUAGCCAGAAUCUUUUGUUUUUCAAAUAAUUAAUAUUUCCAAUAACUGAUCAGUUCCAGGUCGACGGGUUCAAACAGAAAGAUUUGAAAGCAGAGAAAACUGUGUAUCUUAUAAUCGACAUGACUUUAUCAGAUGACCAAUACCAAUACUAAAAUAAGGCUUAGGCAUAGUUAUAUACUUUAAUUCAGUCACGGACCCGCGAUAUCACGGGUGUGUACUUGUAUAUUUAAUAUUGCAGGAUUAUAAAUCGUAUACACGAGGCACAUAUCUCGUCUGAUUAUAAAAUCUACAUUCUACAAUUUGGAAAAGAGAAUCGGAAUUGUUAAUGAAUCAAAUAAGUUAAAGAAUGAUCCUAGGCAUCUUAUUGUUUUAUCAACUAAGUUCCUUGGUAUAAGUUUUAAUCAUGCUACAGUAUAGUAUUUUAUACGGGAUAAAAACAUUGAAGGUAUCAAUUUGACUGAACCAGAAGCGCAUUUCGUCAAUCAAUGUAUCUGAAGUGAUGCUCGAAGGCCAAACAAUUUGUAAAUCAUUAACCUGAUUCAAACGUUGAAGAGUUGAUGUCACUACACAGGACCUUAGGUAUAUUGCAAUCCAGACAGAAAAAUAAGAACAUCGCAUGCGGACGAUAUAUUAUUACAUUUGUACCUUAUUUCAAAAAACUGUUUUAAAUGUUUAAUAGCAAAUAUCAAUUAACACUGUCGGGUUUUUUUUUUCAAGUACCGAAAUAAUGGGAUACGGUAUUCCAAAGAUUUUACUGAUCUUUUACAAAAUCAGCAAGAUGUACUAAGACUUUCACUUAAAAGCAAAUGAAGAUAACAAAUUCAAAAAAUUAUAAAAAAAAAUUAAGCAGUAUGAACCAAUGUUAUAUUUAGUAUUGUAGAAAAAACAGAUCAGUAAAUGUCCAAUCAAACCAAUUAGUAAUCACCAAUAUAUAAAUCAUCGGUACAUGACAAUUGUUUGACCAAUAAAUACGCCAUCACUUAAUUUCAAGUCUCGAUUUCUAUUUAUGAUGGGUAACAUACAAAUCUAUAUUUGUCAGCACGGUCGUUGGUGCCUUUGUGGAAACAGGUAUUACAGCCCAGUAUAUCCCCAAGCAUCGGAAUUACAAUGCAAUACGCCUGGUAAAGGGGGGAUGUGUGGCGGGGCUUGGAGAAAUGCCAUCUAUGAAGGUAGGUGAAUUAAGAGCGAUAUUUUAAGUUGAAAACAGAGUUACUAUAAUAUUCUUUAACUUAUCUUCAAUCCAAAAUGGCUAUAGCCUUCCUCAAGUUAGAUAAGUAAAAUAGUCUUUGAUAGAUACUAUAAUUAAGAUGGUUAUAAUUUAAUUUUUUUACAGUUUGAUUUCGUUUGAAAAGAAACACAAACAGCAUAUUACAGAUAAACUGCAUCGUCGUAAAUGAAAUAUCUAAAUCAUAUGCAAUGAAAUAUUUAUAUCAAUUCUUUAAUGCUGCUUUGAAAGUUUUUGUCGAGUAAUAGCUUAUCAAACACAAACCAAGGUUUAAACCACGAGUUUUUACUAAAAUUUCUUGUACCAAGUCAGGAAUAUGGAAGUUGUUUUUAUGCAUGUUGGCUUUUAUUUUUUGUUGCAGUUCAGUGUUUCUGUUGUUCCUUUGUUUUACUCUUACAGUUGAUGUGUUUUCCUCGGUUUUAGUUUGCAACAUGGGUGAGUUGUCUCUUAAUAGAUCAGCGGUAUAUUACCGUGACCUUUAUCGUUUAGAAAGCCAAUGAUGUAUAGGGAUGAAUAAAAAGAUAUACAAGGAAAGAGUAUAUAUUAAGAACUUGCUCUGCAACAUGGCGACAAACGGGAACAACUAUAUCUCAAUCAUGUUAAUGUACAUGUAAGAAUAUAUAUAUAUGUCAGCUCUAAAUGGUCUGGAAUCUAAACAUUAUUAACAGAUUUCACAGAAACAAUCGAAGAUCUGUUAUCAACACCAAAGUCUCCUAAUAGCAAAGAAAAUAUUAAAAACUAGUCAUUUUGGGGCCCUUUAUAUCUUGCUGCUCGGUGUGAGCCAAUGCUCCGUGUUAAAGACCGUACUUUGAUCUAUAAUGUUUUACUUUUACAAAGUGUGACUUGGAUGGAGAGUUGUCUCAUUUACACCCAUUGUCUAGUUCAGUAUCUUAUGCUUUACAAAUCUUCCUUGUUCGGGAAGAUUUAAUGCUUACGUAUGUUUGUGUUUUCAUAUCUAUAUGUUGUUAAUAUUUCUUAUAUUUCAAUUAAAAAUUUAAUGAAAUCAACUAAUUACAUUGUUUGGUUAACUAAUUAAAAACUCUUCAUAUCAAUUGAGACGGUCUGUUAAAGCCAAACUUGUUUAACUUUCCUUAUAUAUCUGACCUAUCAAAGAACCGUUAUAUUAAUGAAGUAGCUAUGGGUAAUGGAACACAUUUUACAUUUGAGUUAUGUAUUGAAAAUGUUUUUUGUACAUAGGGCAUUUAUACCAUGUUCCAUUACCUAUUUCAACCUAAUACCCUAAGUGCAUCUUAUGUCUAAAUAAGUUGGUUUCUCCGGGUGUCCCUUAUAAGUAGUUUUUUUAAACCAUUAUAUUUUUGGAUACACUGUUAAAAAAAAAUAUCCACAUCAGGAAAUAUCUUGAGUGACGUUGUAGAAUAUGUUUUGAGUAUUAAUUCACUACAAAUAAGUUACAAUAUAAAAAUGUCAACAAAUUUAAAUUACAGAACUACCAGGUAAUUUGAAAAAGUGAGAAUCCCAUAAAACCGGAAAAAUAAAAACUUUAGACUAUUUGUAUCAACAAAUGGAAGCAAUAGAAAAUAAUUGUAAUGUUCCCGACUGUAAUUUAUCCAUACAUAUUCUCGGUCUUUAAGUAUAAUGUUCUACCUAGUGAUUACGUUGUAUAGUACUCGACUUGAGUACGAGGUGUCGUGGGUAUGCAGCUAGGUCGGGUUAUCUAAAAAUUAAAAAAUCGGUAUGUGCUGCUUCUUACGAGCGUUAGUAGUUUGAAUUAUGUCUGCUGGUAGAGUGUUCCCGUGGACUGUAACAUUGUGAACUAGUACGGUUAAUCUGGGAACAGAAUAAUUAUGUUCUUGGGUAAAUACUUUACUUAGCUUAACAUCUGGUCCAGUACAUAGAAGGUUUCGUAUUCAUAUCAUAUUAUCAUAUUCUCCUCCUAAUAUGUUUCAUUUUUCAUCGACGUUAAAUCAGUUUCCCUAUCAACGUCACCAUCAUACAUUGCAGAAACACAUGUUUGAAUUCAAUGUGCAUCUGUUCAGAAAACAAUGUAAACUUUAUUGAAAAUCAACAUAUUAACAAGUUCAAGAACGUUAAAAUCAAUGGAUAAUGAUUAAAACUGUUCAGAGCUUGCCGAUUUUUGCUGAGUGUUGUAUUUGGGCUUUGUUUUUGUUUAUUGUUAUAUUAUAAAUCAGGUCAAUUUGGUUUUACUUUUCAAUUGUAACACAUUGUUUUCAUACAAAGUAAAAAAAAACUAAACUACUGGGAGGAAAUUUCAAAAGGAAUUUCAAAGUCCCUAAUCAAAUGGCAAAAUCAAAAAAGCUCAAACACAUCAAACAAAUGGAUAACAACUGUCAUAUAUUCCUGACUUGGUACAGGCAUUAUGAUAGCUUAUGUUAUGUGACAAAUAUUUUUCGUGUAUGUUAAGGACGAGCUCGAUGGUUGGAGGAUGAACGGUGACGUAUAACAACUGUGUACAUCUUCUACCGUUUAUCCCUGGUUGUUAUUUGUAACAUUAGCAAUCAUACCAGAUCUACUUAUUUAAAAAAAAUGCAUAUCGGGUACACCAACAAGAUAUUCUACAAAAAGAUAAAAAAAAAAAUAUCAUGUACAUUAAAUAGAUACUAGAUCUUGCAUCAAAAUAAACAAAGUUAAAUAACAAAUACCAAUUUAUGCAAAAUUAGAGAAAAUUAAAUUAUUUCCUAAAUGGAUCAAUGCAUAUACUAGUACAUGUAUAGCAAAUAUUUGUACAAUUUAACGUUACUUGCUACACGACGGAGGCGAACGAUAUGAUAGGGACAUCCAAACUCAAAAGUAAAAAAUAAACUGACAACGCCAUAGCUAAAAAUUAAAAAAAAAAACAGACAAACAGUAAUACACAAAACAGUGAAAACACUACACACUAAAGAAUGAGCAACACAAACCCUACUGUUCCAUAUAUGGCAGCCGUCAUAUUGCUCAUUUUAGUACAAACCCGGUUCUAAGUCUUAUUUGGUAGGCCACAUUCGGGAAAAAGAGACGAAAUUGUAGCUACGACAUUAGGAACAUAUCAGCUAUUAUCUGUGGAACAGACCCUAUUGGAAGGAAUUGAAAACUUAAACAACCGAUGGUUGUGUGAAAAAAGGGAAACAAAUCUAAAUCCUUUGAUUUACUCGUACAUGAUUCACAAUACGUAUAGCACUUCUAAAAAUAAAAAGGUUCUAUCUUAAAAAUUGGUAGCGAGUUUGACGACAAAAAGUCCUUAAAUGACAUAGUCCAGCAAGUGGUAAUUGUGUAAACAAUCGAAAUCCUGUUACUCGGAGAUGUUCGAGAAAUCGACAAUUAAUGUUUAAAAAAUGUUACUUAAAGAAAAUGCUAAUCCCGUAGAAAAAAAGAAAAAAAUAAAUGAUUAUCUGAAUAUCAAAAAUUAUUUUGUACCGUAAAUUUUAGAGAUUUUAAAAGACAAAAGCAACAACAACAACAGAAGGAAAUAUGAUUCUUUCAUCGACUUCCUGGUAGAGAUAACUUAUAUUUCAUUUUAAUUUUGAUACAUAAUGAGACAUGCAACUUCCUCGAAAUUAAAGUAACAGCUGACGGCAUUUCUGAUUAGAAAAAAGAAAUACAGAAAACAACCAGGUAAAUAUGUUUUGGUUAGAAACUGUAUUUACGUAAUCUUGACAAUUUUAUUACGUCUAUUAUAAUUACCUAAAUUGUAACUUAUAUUUAGUUUCAGUCUUUACUAUAUGCUUUGCUAUCUUCCAUCCCGAAUAACAAAUGUCAGUGGUCAAAGGACAAUAGAUUUAUCUUAUACGAAUAUCUCUGAUAUGAAAAUAAACUUUUCAUCAAUUUUGAUGUACAUGUAAAAUCUGUAAAAAAAAAAAAAAAGAAGUCAAAUUUUCUUUUAAACUUAAAUUCCUGAUUAUCCCUUGUCGUUCAUACAAAAUAUUGUCGAGAUACCCUUUUCGUGACAAGAAAGUAUGAUAUGCGGUUCAACGAAAUAUUAUCUGAAUACCUCUUGUAUGAAUCAAAUUAUACCAUUGUUUCUACUUUAGUAACUAAUAAGAUAUCAAUGGCUGAUUUCCAUUAUCAUAACCAAAAACAAAAACAGCGUUAUUUUUUUUUUUUGGUGAUUCAAUGAUAAAAUAUCAACUGUUCAAGUUUUAUUUUUUGCUUUAUUUUUAGAGAGUAAAUAUAAAUAGGACCCUUGAGCAGACCUGUCUCGUCUUUUUCUCACUCUUUGUUUUUUCUUUUCUUUCUUUUUUAGGGGAGUCUAUAUUUAUGACAGACAAUAGUAACUAUAUCAAAACACACGGAGUGUCCUACAGCUGUUCAUUAUAUCAGUAUACGGUCAUCAAGUCGUGUUCAUUGACAGUUGUUGUCCAUUCGUUUGAUGUGUUUUGUCGUUUAAUUUUGCCAUUUGAUUAGGGAAAUUACUUUUUGAAUUUUACUCGGAAUCAGUAUUUUUGUUAUUUGACUUUUUUUUCAUUCUGAUUGGGAACAUUCAUCAUUCAUUUGAUUCAAAGGACCGUUCCAAUAUAUUUUUUAAAUCUCUACAAAUAGAAAAGACGAACUUCAGCUAUUUGUGACAGAUUUUUUCCACUUAUUGCGAGGCUUUGGUGAUAAAAUGUUGAAUUGUAGAUUUUAAAACUACAAACUUGAAUAAAAAUGCGAUUGACUGUAUUUAGACAUUAAAUGAAGUCCGAGAUUACACACAAGUUUUAUUUAGACAUUAAAUGAAGUCCGAGAUUACACACAAGUUUUUUUUAGAUUUUGUCCUAUAUGCAUAGUCAUUUGGAUCUUGGAAGACUUGCAAAGUGCGUGAGUUCUGAAUAUGGCAUAUUUAUGGCACAUUUUUUUGUUAAUCAGUGUUUGCAUUUUGUUUUGUUGUUGUUAUUGGCUUCUAUAAUCUUGUUUUAAUUAUCUUUUUUUUUUUUGGGGGGGGGUCGUAGUAUUUGUUUUUAGGGUUUAAAGUUACUGGACCUAGGGAUGCUAAAAAUUGACAGAGCUAUAACUAUUUGAAGUCUGAAAUACAAAACUGUUCGGAAGUGUAAAAGAAAAACUUUUUUCACUGGAAUUUGAAUGUAAACCAAAUUGUUUUAUUGGAUGUAAGAACUGAAAAUAAUGCGUUUACACAAAUGACAAUAGAUUAUCAUGUGUCAAUGUUAUCAGUUUACAGGAAACAAUGAAGAAUUUGAUGCUUCUUAUAUUUUGUUUGAUCAUUGCUGUUAACUCAAAUCCAUACAGAAAUAAAGGACACUAUGAAGGUUAGUACAUUAUACACAUACUUUAUUAAAGUAACCGAUGACUGUUGAAAAUCCGUACGGCAAAUACUUCAUGUAUUUUUUUCAUUCACAGAGUCAAGAAUUGAGAAUUGGCAUAUCCUAUUGGAAAUUGAAUAUUUAAGAGUCUAUAAAACCUUGUUUAAAAUUAAAAAGCUAAAAUGAAAUUAAAAUUAAAAAACUUAAAUUAAAAUUUAAAAAAAAAGUAUAAUAUGAUCUUCAAAAUUAUGUUCGUCCUAUUCAUAAAUGAACAAAGCAAUAUAAUUUGGAUAUGUCGGUGCAACAAGGGCACUGAUGUCAUAAUGCCUGAUAAACAACUUGAAAUUGCAUUUUUGACCAAAGAAAAAUGCCGUCGUUCACAUGCAUUGUCGACCAAAUGGAAAUGAGCAAAUUCAAGGCUUUACCCUAUCAAAAAAGAUAUUUAAACAGUUUUUAAAAAAGCUCAUCGAAGAUUAACAUCAUUAUGAAAUACAUUUAAAUACUAAUGGCGUGCUAUCAAAAUAAGUUAUUUUUGCAGUUUUUGAAUGCAUAGACUUCUUUUGCAUUAAUUUUGUACUAAAUAAACUGAAGUAGUGUUGAAGUUGUACCAACGAUUUGUUUUCUCUUAAUUGAUUGAUGACUUCUGAACAACGGUAUACUACUGUGUCAUUUAUUUAUUGCCUAAGGCUAUUAUGUAAGACAAAAUAUUUUUUUGUUAAAAUUAUAUUACUUUUACAGUUAUUUAUAUUAUUUUCUUAAUUUCAAUUUGGGAAAUUACGGUUCAUGUAUAUCUAUUGACAAAUCGGAUUUAAUAUUUAAACUUCCGCUAUAUCGGUUCUAGAGGUGUUAUGCUACCAUUGAUUCUUCCCCUAUUAUUCUUUGUUAAAUUUGCACUUUUCAAAAAAUUGUGCAGAAUUUAUCUUUCUUUCAAAAAACCCAACUUCUGAUCUAGUACUAUACACAAAAUAUCAUAUAACAUUUUAUGGCAUAUAAGAAAAUAAGCAUCACUGGAAGUUAACCGAUAAAUUAUUCACUCCAUUUUAUCCUGUGUACAAUCUUAAGUAUCCGUGUUACCUCAACUAUCUAUACAGAAAAAUCAAAUAAGAAAAUAAUGGUGCUUUGACACACCCAAAAUAUAUGUUUAUAACUCAGAAUUUUUCACAUAAAGGAGAUUUUUUUGUUGAAUUAUCUGAAUAUGACUUUACAAGUCUGGUUAUUUCAUGCAUUACUCAGUGUAUAUAAAGUGCGAAUCCAGCUAGUUCAUUUUCACUAUCAUAUGCGAGUAUGUCUAUUGUAGAAUAAAGGAUAACGGGAAAACUGUAUUUGUUUACGAUUCGAAAAUUCCAAAAUAAUUGAUUUGAAGUUCGUAUCUCUUACAUUGUCUUACUAGUAUUAUUUAUUUCUAAACAUAUACAUUUUUCUAAUUUUGUUCAUUUUCUAUAAAAAAAAAAAAUCCAAAAUAAAACCCGUCUGUUUUAUGGCAUAUACAGUGAAAAUGAUAUUUUAGGAUCCGCACUUUACAUACACUGUUACUGUUAAGCUUUGUCAUAUAUGAUUUUUUUUCAAUUAUAUGUUCAAACCAUUAGCUAGCUAUAAAACAAGGUAGAAAUAUGUUCAAAUCAUUAGCUAGCUAUCAAACAAGGUAGACAUGAAAAUAAAACAAGGGAAAAUAGGUUGUGUAAAAUUUGUAAUACAAAUGAAAUAGAAGAUGAAUUCCAUUUUGUACUAGUUUUUCCAAUUUUGGCUGAUAUAAGAAGAAAUGUUUUACCAUUAUGGUGUCAAAGUAAUCGUUACAGAUACUCAUUAAUUCGUCUUUUUAGAAUUACUUUGAAAAAUCUUGCUGUAUUUCUGAAAAAAGCUAAAUGCUGUUACUAUGACUUUAUGAAAAUGAAUAUACUUGAUAAAUAAAUAAAUUUACUACAAAUACAAGUCUAUUAAAAUAUUUUGAAAAUCUAAUCGUAUAACUGUUCUAGUCGUAUAACUGUUCUAGCCGUAGAACUGUUCUAGUCAUAAAAUAGACCAAAGAUUUUGUCAGUUCUUAGUAGAACUGUCUUAAACUGUUCUAGGGUAGAACUGUAAGGAUCAGUUCUAGGUUAGAACUGUUCUAGCUAGAACUGUCUAAAAUGUGUCAUGAUGACAGUUCUACAUACUGUCCUAGAACAGUUCUCCUGACAGAUUCUGACGAAUGGAUGAGAGGUUAGAUGUGAUCUCCACUGUAGAUUAUACUAGAGUUUUCUCAAACUAUUGAACUGAUAAGGUUAUAUGACAGUUUCUGUAUGUCUUCAUUUAAACAAACAUAAUCCUCAACUUUUGAGUAAAACACACACUUUGGUGAGUUACCAAUGUAAUCUGACCAAGUUUGUAAUUUUAAAAGUCUCUGUUUAAAUAAAUGUAUAAACAGUUUUGUCGAAGAACUGUAAGCAAAACUAACCAAAUCAGUUCUAACCGUAGAUCUGUCAGCAUAACUGAAUAAAUCUGUUCUAACUGUAUAACUGUCAGCAGAACUUUCUAAAACUGUUCUAGCCGUAGAACUGACUAAACCUGUCAGGAUUGUAGAACAGUUCUUAACGAGAUUUUUUUUUUAAUAUAUUAUAUAUUCUUUUGACUUAUUAAUAUUUUAGACAACGAGUCCUUAUAACUGUUCUAUGGAUAGAACUGACUAAAUCAAUUUUGCUCGUAGAACUGACCAAAUCACUUCUAAUCGUAUACUAGUAACUGUUCUAGUCGUAUAACUGUUCUAGCCGUAUAACUGUUCUAGCCGUAGAACAGUUCUAGUCUUAAAACUGUCUAAAACUGUUCUAGGGUAGAACUGAUAAAACCUGUCAGGAUUGUAGAACAGUUCAAAAUGAGAUUUUUUUAAUAUAUAUUAUAUUCUUUUGAACUAUUUGUAUCUAAGACAAAGAGUUCUUAAAACUGUUCUAUGGGUAGAACUGACUACAGCAAUUUUAGCCGUAGAUCUUACCAAAUCAGUUCUAAUCGUAUAACUGUUCCAGUCGUAUAACUUUUCUAGCCGUUAAUAUAAGGGUACUAAAAUAUUGGUACAGCCAAUACCAACAAUGAUCACAGUAUUCCAUGUUUAAUCAUCAUAACUUUUGAGAGAGAUUUGAAAUAGACAAACUUUCAAAAUGCUGAAAAUGUAACGUUGUAACCAAAAAUUUGUAGUACUACAAAUUUCAAGUACAAAUCAAGUAUUUUAAAAUACAGGUACCCAAAUAUUACAAUAAUUUUAAAAUAACAAAAUAGUAUUGAAUAUUAAAAGUAAAUUUCCAGUACUACAGAUUUUUGGUACAGAAAUAUUAUCUAUGAAACGUAGCUGUGUGGGGGACUUGUAUUAAUUAUGUUUGUUUAUGUUACAUAUUAAUGGUGGAUGAUUGUUUCAUUUACAAACUUAUCGCAAUUCCUUAUUUUAAUAUGUAUUUCCCUAGGAUAUGUUGGAUGUUACGUGGACGACGCCAAUAGAUUGUUAAAGUAUAGGGUAGGUCCCUUACAUCGGAUUACAUUAGAGAAAUGCAGACAUCACUGCAGGGGAUUCAGAUAUCUUGGGUUACAGGUAAGCCAUCACUUCAACUUGCUAGACGAUGAUUUAAAUUAACAGAGUAUAUGUGCAUUGCGUUUUUAGUAGACCUGUAAUAAGUGCCGGUCCAAACAUGAUUCAUUAUCGAGAGUUUCAACCGACAAAUUAACCAAAUUAAUUGAAAGCAGAUUUGGUGUUGUUUAAAAAAACAAAUGCGACAUAUAGACGACAAAAAUCAUUAGAAGGACAGAUAACGUCAUUGUCAAAAGACAAAAUUCAAAAUAUUCAACAAAACACUUUAUAGAAAACUAAAGACUGAGUAAGAACCUUGCCAAAAUUCAAGAAAUCUUAGUUGCAUUUUCUAGUUUGACACCUUUCUCGGAACUCGUGUUAACAUUGGGGUUUUCAAAGUUAAUUAUAUUGGAUUCAUUAUAUAAGGGUAUUGGUAUAGAGGCGAAAGAUAUUGAGUUAACAUUCAAAUAUCAUAAGUAGUAAAAUAAGGAAGACGAACAACACGACAUUAAGAAGAAAAAAGCCAGAACAACAUGAACCUCACUAAAACCUGGGUUUGAUAUAACGUGUUUCGGAAGUGUAAGCAGAAUCUGCUCCAUCACGAGUGGCACCCGUCAUGCCGUGGUAGAUGCAUCAUUUUCAACACUUCGAUAUUACAUAAUUCGUGAAACUUUGAACGUGUAAACUCUCUUACCCUAAAUCAUAACCGCCUGUGAAUGAUUGAAAUUUAAAUACGAAGUCUUUCAGGACAAGGGAUAGAAAAUGUCGAGACCGAAAAUAGAAUUGAUAAUGCAACUUUUAAAUGGACCAAAGACCAAAAACUUUUAAAUGGACCGAUGACCAAAAACUCAAAUGGCUGGGUUCCUAAGAAUUAUUUCCAGAAUCGGUCUUUGCUGUAAGAAGAAUAUUUGUAAAAAAAAAUAUAAUUACACAAAAAUCCAUGAUGGGAUGGAUAAAUCUUAUGUAAAGCAUUUAGGUUGAAACUGACCUGAAAAUUUAUACAGUUGGUACAGACUUUUAAAAAUAUCCCUUACAAAAUUUUUAAGUUCCAAAAUUUGUAAAGAUUGGAGAGGCCGGGAUCCUAAAGCCACUCUAAAAUAAAGACAGGUGCACAACUUUUAAAUGUGUGCAAUCUGUCGAUGAAAUUUCAUGGAAAUGAGUUGAAAAAUUCAGCAAUCAGAUGUGAUUGAUGUCAAAUGAUUUCAUCCCAGCUGUAAAAUCACAUUGACCCAGUACGCAGACGGUGGCAAGAGAGUGGCCAAAAAAAAGUACGUUGAAAUCAACAACAGAUUAAAAGACUUUUUGUUUUUUUCAUAUAUCAAUCAAAAAUCAGUAUUUAUACAUUCAAAAAUAACUCAUUCACCUGUCCUGAAAUAAAAGUAAAUUAAACAAGGUUUAUACAGUAUAAUCCUACAUGUAUGAUUGCACUAGUUUUCCAAAAAUAACCACAUGCAUAUUUUUUUUGUUCUUUAUUAAUUAAAAAAAAAAAGUGGCUAUAGGUGGAAUGAACCAUCUUGUGUACACGACUUGUAUAUACUUAUAAUCUUAUGUACAUAGUUCUCAUUCUUAUUCCAACAACUUUCAAUCUUGUGGUGCAAACAGAUGCAUAUUGAACAAACGGAUAUAUAUUCAUUGUUUUAUAAGCUGGGUAAAUCAUUAAUAGGGUAAUACAUUCUCUCUUUAGUGCUAUUCAAACAAAAACAUAUUCAGAAACAACAUUUUUAACAGUUGUCUUACAUUGACAAUGAUCAUAUGGUUAUUUUUGGUGGGUGUUUUUCUUUUAAAUAUUAAAGAGGUGAAAAAAUGAUAUUACUUUUUCUGUUUAGUCGGGUUUUUUUGUUUUCAUUUUCAUAAGAAUAUUAGGUCCCGCACUCUCAGUCAUAUGUAUUAGUUUGUGAUUAGAUCUGUUAAAGAUUAACUGCUAAUGUUAAGUCGAUAAUAUUUGGUAUGCAAAGUUAUUGGCAUUUGCAAGUCUCAUUUAUAUGGAGAUUAUAAAGCCCCGCCCCCUCAUCGUGAUUCAUUGACUUUAAAACAUUUGCAUAGUUUACAAGUUAAUGUUUUUGUUUAGGUUUGUUUAAUGGGAACGACUUAUGAUAAGUCAAUGGCAUUUGGUAUGCAGUUGUAUUAACAUUGGCACAUCUCAUUUCCAUGGAGUUGUUCAGCCAUGUAUCUUGUCAUGGUUUAUCGACUUCGAUUUUUUGCACAACUUGCAUGUUAUAUAGUAUUGCUUUUUUAAUUUCAACAUUUGCAUUAUAAAAAUUACAAAAAAGGCGAAACAUAUCUCUGUGAUAACAAUUUUUUUAAUUGAAUUUGAUGCGAACGCUAUACAAGUGAGAGGUUUAUCUAGCUACUAAGGUAGGAAUAUGACAGUUAUUAUGCAUUCGAUGGCAUGAUGAUUUUGAGCUUUUGAUUUUGCCAUUUGAUUACGGAUUUUUGAAAUUUCUUCGGAGUUCGGUAUUUUUGAUAUUUUACUUUUUGAUAUCAGGCAAAAUCUCAUUUGACGAAUUAAUUGUACAUGCCAAUUCAUUAUUCAAAUUAAAACUCAGAACACGGAUUUUCGUUUGCUUUUGAUGUUUCAAAAUUCUAUUUUCCAGUAUAGGGAUUGGUGCCUUUGUGGAAACCACCUUAACUCACCUGCCUAUCCCCAAGCAUCGGAACUGCAAUGCAACAUGCCUUGUGCAGGCGAAAAUUCUAGAAUGUGUGGUGGAGGUGAUAGGAAUUCCAUCUAUCAUGGUAGGUAAAGUUAAAGGAGAUGAUUUGGGGUAGAUCUGUUAUCUUUUUCUGUAAAUUUCUUCUGAGCAUGUUACAAAAUCCCGUUUUUGAUCUAUUAAUUUUUUUUAAAAGGUGAAAAACAAAUUCACAUUUCUAGAAAAAUGGACGAAAACAAAAUAAAUUAUUAUUUCAAGCUAAGGAUAUUUACAAGUAUGAAGCAGAUAAACAGUUUUUCAUAUCAUACAUUUAAAUACAAUAUAACAGUUGAAAAUUAAAAAUACACCUUUACCUGACCGUAUAUUGGAGUUCCUGGCUCCUAAAGAUUAAAAUAUCAAACAUUAAUUGUCGUUAAGUGUAGUUAAAGAUUUCAGUACAAAAUCCUUUAAGACUGAAGGGCAGAUAGUUAUAUUGAAUUGGAUAGGAAUUCUGUAAUAGAAUAGUAAUUAUGUCGUCGAACAUUGACACCCUUAAUUCAAUACCCCAGUAGAAUAAAAAAAAACAAAAAAAACCAUUAGUUUUCAAACUAAAUGCAAUUGCAAAAAAAAGUACAAAAUUAAAGACAGAAAAUGGUAUACAAAACACAACAUAAAAAACUAAAAACAGAGCAACACGAACCCCAACGAAAACUGGGGGUGAUCUGAGGUCCCCCAGAAGGGUACUAGACAGUAGUUAAAGGGUAAUUUUAUUGUUUCGUUUACAGUAGCAUUUUUCAAGAGCUUGUACUGUCGAUCAUUGCUGUUCUCAAUUGUCCUCACAGCUUUCAAGUUAGUAAGCUCAUUGUCUCAUUGGCAAUAAGUGUGUCUAUCAGUAUGUGAGGAUGAUGAAUCGAAUGCAAAUAACAAAAGUUGCACUAUUAACAAAGGAGUGUUUUUGUCUACCUAUUUUGUAUAUCUAACUAAAUUGGCGUUUAUAAAGCAUUAUAUUUCAUAUGUUUUUUGUUUGUUUGUUUUUUUAAGUUUGAUGGCAUCUUCAAAAGCGACAACGACAGAAUAUAACAACUGAGAGAAUAUAACAGCUGACAGAAUAUAACAGCUGACAUGCAUCGUCGUUAAUAAUAAUAAUAAAAUUAUACAACUAGAUUUUCUUACCAUGUUAUUUAGAAUCCAAAUAAAUCAAAUUGAAG